rnacentral:rRNA from 1 species
CUACACAUGCAGUCGAGCGGAGAUGAGGUGCUUGCACCUUAUCUUAGCGGCGGACGGGUGAGUAAUGCUUAGGAAUCUGCCUAUUAGUGGGGGACAACAUUCCGAAAGGAAUGCUAAUACCGCAUACGUCCUACGGGAGAAAGCAGGGGAUCUUCGGACCUUGCGCUAAUAGAUGAGCCUAAGUCGGAUUAGCUAGUUGGUGGGGUAAAGGCCUACCAAGGCGACGAUCUGUAGCGGGUCUGAGAGGAUGAUCCGCCACACUGGGACUGAGACACGGCCCAGACUCCUACGGGAGGCAGCAGUGGGGAAUAUUGGACAAUGGGGGGAACCCUGAUCCAGCCAUGCCGCGUGUGUGAAGAAGGCCUUAUGGUUGUAAAGCACUUUAAGCGAGGAGGAGGCUACUGAGACUAAUACUCUUGGAUAGUGGACGUUACUCGCAGAAUAAGCACCGGCUAACUCUGUGCCAGCAGCCGCGGUAAUACAGAGGGUGCGAGCGUUAAUCGGAUUUACUGGGCGUAAAGCGUGCGUAGGCGGCUUUUUAAGUCGGAUGUGAAAUCCCCGAGCUUAACUUGGGAAUUGCAUUCGAUACUGGGAAGCUAG